rnacentral:lncRNA from 1 species
ACCUUUUAAAAAUAUUGUCAUGAAUUGGUAGCCCUAGUUUUCAGAUGGGGACAAAAAAUGUUUAGAAUUCUAUGUGCAUGCAUUACUCAAGCUGCAGGAGUAUGUGGGAAGCAGAGCACUUCAAUUUCACCAAAACACCUCUUAUACUGGAGUGCUGGUUCUUCCUGGUUAGCACAGAGAGCUGAACUGUGUGUGCCAGGUGAUCUGCAGUGGAGAACAGCAUCAUUAUUAAAAGGCUUAGACAUUCCAUGCCAUUUGUGCUUCUGCGACAUAUGUAGUACAGUGCUCCUGUGUGACUGACAUGUGAAAUUCCAGAUCUGCCAACAAAUGAGGAACCUCACUGUGUAGCUGCAAUACGUGCACAGUAUUUAGUUUUAGACUCCUGAUUUGAAAGGCUAGAUGAGAUUACAGAGUUCUAAUUUGAAGGUAUUUACAAUUUUCUUACCCUUUUUCCUCUGGGCCGGAAUCGUAGUUUGUACCAUAUUUAAGAUUUUGAGGUUGAUUGCCAGCACUAGUGCGUCAUUUCAGUAGACCAGCCAAGUUGGUUCUGCCAGGACUUCUGAAGUGGCCUGCACAUCUGUUAGGAAGAAAGAAGAAGCUAUGGGCCACCAUCUGGUAUUUGAUGCCUUGCUGUCACAACAGAUUCAUUGAGG